UCUCUGGUGGUCCAGCGGUUAAGACUCUGUGCUUCCAACUGCAGGGAGCACAGGUUCAAUUCCUGGUCAGGGAA
rfam:TPA: Bos taurus chromosome 19, whole genome shotgun sequence.